GGAUAGUUUCUUUGCUAGCUUUGCUCUUGGUUGGCUCAUCACCAAUGGUGCUGGUCUUGCUUCUUACCCCAUUGAUACAGUAAGAAGAAGAAUGAUGAUGACAUCUGGUGAGGCGGUGAAGUACAGGAGCUCGCUUGAUGCAUUCUCCCAGAUUGUUAAGAAUGAGGGUCCCAAAUCUCUGUUCAAGGGUGCUGGUGCUAACAUCCUCCGAGCUGUUGCUGGUGCUGGUGUGUUGGCUGGAUAUGACAAGCUUCAGGUUCUUGUUUUGGGAAAGAAAUACGGAUCUGGUGGUGCAUAAGUCAGCCUCGUAACAUCCUUUAGAAUUUAGAUGGUGAUGAAAAUCUUUUUGUUGUUACAUUUGAGUAUUCAGUUGGGGAGACAUUUAUCAUUUUUCCUUUUGACUUUUUUUUUGUAAUAAUUCGAAAAAUCUUAGAGUGGGUCAAAGCUUAAAAACCCCACACUCGUUUCCCUUGUUGAAGGGUUAUUACUGUUUUGUUUGGGCGGACCUUAUUUCAAUUGCAGAGCUUACAGAUUCUGAAUGAAUCUUUUGAUAAAAUCAAAUGCGGAUCAGUUUGGUACUUGUGUUAUUUUAAGUGUGGUAUACAAU
rnacentral:misc_RNA from 1 species